GUGCUCACCUCAGCAUCACACAUGCAAAAAGUGGAACAAUACAGAGAUUAGCAUGGCCCCUCCACAAGUAUGACACAUAAAUUCAUGAAGUGUCCCUUGGCACA
ensembl:snRNA U6 U6 spliceosomal RNA